AGCUUGCUCCCUGAUGUCAGCGGCGGACGGGUGAGUAACACGUGGGUAACCUGCCUGUAAGACUGGGAUAACUCCGGGAAACCGGGGCUAAUACCGGAUGCUUGAUUGAACCGCAUGGUUCAAUUAUAAAAGGUGGCUUUUAGCUACCACUUACAGAUGGACCCGCGGCGCAUUACCUAGUUGGUGAGGUAACGGCUCACCAAGGCAACAAUGCGUAGCCAACCUGAAAGGGUGAUCGGCCACACUGGGACUGAAACACGGCCCAAACUCCUACGGGAGGCAGCAGUAGGGAAUCUUCCGCAAUGGACAAAAGUCUGACGGAGCAACGCCGCGUGAGUGAUGAAGGUUUUCGGAUCGUAAAACUCUGUUGUUAGGGAAAAACAAGUACCGUUCGAAUAGGGCGGUACCUUGACGGUACCUAACCAAAAAGCCACGGCUAACUACGUGCCAGCAGCCGCGGUAAUACGUAGGUGGCAAGCGUUGUCCGGAAUUAUUGGGCGUAAAGCGCGCGCAGGCGGUUUCUUAAGUCUGAUGUGAAAGCCCCCGGCUCAACCGGGGAGGGUCAUUGGAAACU
rnacentral:rRNA from 1 species